GGACAGCCCACGGGCCUGCCCCCCACCGGCUGACGCACCUUCCCGUGCCAAUUACGGGACAGGUGUUCGUCUGCCAGUCAACCCGUGGCCAGUUUCUCCCUUUUCAGGGAAGCAACAUAAACUGGUCAUUCCAGCCGAUGCACCAGACAAAAAGUUUGUUUUGGUCAUCGGUGACUCCCAUCUACGAGGCCUCGUAGAUGGAGUCCAUCAGAUGCCGCC